CCUACGGGAGGCAGCAGUGGGGAAUAUUGCGCAAUGGGCGAAAGCCUGACGCAGCGACGCCGCGUGAGGGAUGAAGGUCUUCGGAUCGUAAACCUCUGUCAGCAGGGAAGAACGGUCACUGUGCUAAUCAGCAGUGCAUUGACGGUACCUGCAAAGGCAGCACCGGCUAACUCCGUGCCAGCAGCCGCGGUAAUACGGAGGGUGCGAGCGUUAAUCGGAAUUACUGGGCGUAAAGCGCUCGUAGGCGGUAGGUCAAGUCAAGGGUGAAAUCCCCGGGCUCAACGUGGGAACUGCAUUUGAAACUGGUAAACUGGAGUGUGUGAGAGGAGAGUGGAAUUCCAGGUGUAGGAGUGAAAUCCGUAGAUAUCUGGAGGAACACCAGUGGCGAAGGCGACUAUCUGGAACAUAACUGACGCUGAGGAGCGAAAGCGUGGGUAGCAAACAGGAUUAGAUACCCCAGUAGUC
rnacentral:rRNA from 1 species